rnacentral:misc_RNA from 1 species
UCUCCGUUGGUGAACCAGCGGAGGGAUCAUUACUGAGUUCUACAAAACUCCCAACCCUUUGUGAAUCAUACCACUGUUGCCUCGGCGCCGAGCGGCAGCUACCCGGGAGCUACCCUGUAGAUGCGAGAGCAUCUACCCUGUAGCUACCCUGUAGUUGUAUUUCACGCUCCGCCGGUGGACCACUCAACUCUGUUUUACAGUGUAUCUCUGAGUAACUAAACUAAAUAAGUUAAAACUUUCAACAACGGAUCUCUUGGUUCUGGCAUCGAUGAAGAACGCAGC